AAUCAACGCUGGCGGCGUGCCUCAGACAUGCAAGUCGAACGAUUAAAGCUCUCUUCGGAGAGUGCAUAGAGUGGCGCACGGGUGAGUAACACGUAAGUAAUCUACCUUCGAGUGGGGAAUAACAACCGGAAACGGUUGCUAAUACCGCAUAAUGCAGCGGCAUCGCAAGAUGACAGUUGUUAAAGGAGCAAUUCGCUUGAAGAGGAGCUUGCGGCAGAUUAGCUAGUUGGUAAGGUAAUGGCUUACCAAGGCUACGAUCUGUAACCGGUCUUAGAGGACGGUCGGUCACACUGACACUGAACAACGGGUCAGACUCCUACGGGAGGCAGCAGUCGGGAAUUUUGGGCAAUGGGCGAAAGCCUGACCCAGCAACGCCGCGUGAAGGAUGAAGUAUUUCGGUAUGUAAACUUCGAAAGAAUGGGAAGAAUAAAUGACGGUACCAUUUAUAAGGUCCGGCUAACUACGUGCCAGCAGCCGCGG
rnacentral:rRNA from 1 species